rnacentral:rRNA from 1 species
UGCGGGGGGGGCAAGCGUUGUUCGGAAUUACUGGGCGUAAAGGGCUCGUAGGUGGCCAACUAAGUCAGACGUGAAAUCCCUCGGCUUAACCGGGGAACUGCGUCUGAUACUGGAUGGCUUGAGUUCGGGAGAGGGAUGCGGAAUUCCAGGUGUAGCGGUGAGAUGCGUAGAUAUUCGGAAGAACACCAGUGGCGAAGGCGGCUCACUGGACUGGUAUUGACGCUGAGGUGCGAAAGCGUGGGGAGCAAACAGG